rnacentral:rRNA from 1 species
UGGGGAAUCUUGGACAAUGGGGGCAACCCUGAUCCAGCCAUGCCGCGUGAGUGAUGAAGGCCUUAGGGUCGUAAAGCUCUUUCGCCUGUGAAGAUAAUGACGGUAGCCGGAGAAGAAGCCCCGGCUAACUCCGUGCCAGCAGCCGCGGUAAUACGGAGGGGGCUAGCGUUGUUCGGAAUUACUGGGCGUAAAGCGCGCGUAGGCGGACUGAUCAGUCAGGGGUGAAAUCCCGGGGCUCAACCCCGGAACUGCCUCCAAAACUAUUGGUCUAGAGUUCGAGAGAGGUGAGUGGAAUUCCAAGUGUAGAGGUGAAAUUCGUAGAUAUUUGGAGGAACACCAGUGGCGAAGGCGGCUCACUGGCUCGAUACUGACGCUGAGGUGCGAAAGUGUGGGGAGCAAACAGGAUUAGAUACCCUGGUAGUCCACACCGUAAAACGAUGAAUGCCAGUCGUCGGGUAGCAUGCUAUUCGGUGACACACCUAACGGAUUAAGCAUUCCGCCUGGGAGUACGGUCGCAAGAUUAAAA